rnacentral:tRNA from 2 species
UUAGCUCAGCUGGUUCAGAGCAUCUGCCUUACAAGCAGAGGGUCGGCGGUUCGAAUCCGUCA